rnacentral:rRNA from 1 species
UACGUAGGGUUCGAGCGUUAAUCGGAAUUACUGGGCGUAAAGCGUGCGCAGGCGGUUGGGCAAGACAGAUGUGAAAUCCCCGGGCUUAACCUGGGAACUGCAUUUGUGACUGCACAGCUGGAGUGCGGCAGAGGGGGAUGGAAUUCCGCGUGUAGCAGUGAAAUGCGUAGAUAUGCGGAGGAACACCGAUGGCGAAGGCAAUCCCCUGGGCCUGCACUGACGCUCAUGCACGAAAGCGUGGGGAGCAAACAGG